CCAGGAUACAAAAACAGCAUCAGACUCUAUGAUAUUCCAGAUACCAUAUGGAGAAAGGACCUUGUGUGGAAGAAAAUGAGAUCCUGAGUGAAGUCUACAAUGUCAUUGAUUCUGAAGAAGGACUCCAAGGCCCAUUGGUGUUUAAUGACCCUUGCUGGCCCAUGCAAUGGGAACUGACAAAACCUCACCUUUCCUUGCCUGUAUACCUGCCAAUUCAGCUAUGUUACAGAAGAUAAAGUGAGUGAUUGGCUUCCAUAUCCAGGAGAUUUCUAAUGAUCUUUUGACAUGAGCAAAGAGGGAAAGUCAAAAUAGUCCUAGAACCAGUAAAAAGAAUACAAAUUAAUUCCAUAUGAAAUACAAGAUAAACACAGAUCCUAAGGAGAAAACCAGCCCAUCAUACCUCAAAAGGGCCCCAACUGAAAC